rnacentral:tRNA from 1 species
GGUCCAGAGUCCGACCGGUUAGGUGGCGGUCUGCAAAACCGCCUAAGUGGGUUCGACUCCCACCUGGACCUCCA